GACGAACGCUGGCGGCGUGCUUAACACAUGCAAGUCGAACGAAAAGAGGGAAAGAGCUUGCUCUUUCCGGAAUUGAGUGGCAAACGGGUGAGUAACACGUAAACAACCUGCCUUCAGGAUGGGGACAACAGACGGAAACGACUGCUAAUACCGAAUAAGUUCCAAGGGCCGCAUGGCCCAUGGAAGAAAAGGUGGCCUCUACCUGUAAGCUAUCGCCUGAAGAGGGGUUUGCGUCUGAUUAGCUGGUUGGAGGGGUAACGGCCCACCAAGGCGACGAUCAGUAGCCGGUCUGAGAGGAUGAACGGCCACACUGGAACUGAGACACGGUCCAGACUCCUACGGGAGGCAGCAGUGGGGAAUCUUCCGCAAUGGGCGAAAGCCUGACGGAGCAACGCCGCGUGAGUGAUGACGGCCUUCGGGUUGUAAAACUCUGUGAUCCGGGACGAAAAGGCAGGGUGCGAAGAACAAACUGCAUUGACGGUACCGGAAAAGCAAGCCACGGCUAACUACGUGCCAGCAGCCGCGGUAAUACGUAGGUGGCAAGCGUUGUCCGGAAUUAUUGGGCGUAAAGCGCGCGCAGGCGGCUUCCCAAGUCCCUCUUAAAAGUGCGGGGCUUAACCCCGUGAUGGGAAGGAAACUGGGAAGCUGGAGUAUCGGAGAGGAAAGUGGAAUUCCUAGUGUAGCGGUGAAAUGCGUAGAGAUUAGGAAGAACACCGGUGGCGAAGGCGACUUUCUGGACGAAAACUGACGCUGAGGCGCGAAAGCGUGGGGAGCAAACAGG
rnacentral:rRNA from 1 species